rnacentral:rRNA from 1 species
GAUGAACGCUGGCGGCGUGCCUAAUACAUGCAAGUCGAGCGAACGGACGAGAAGCUUGCUUCUCUGAUGUUAGCGGCGGACGGGUGAGUAACACGUGGAUAACCUACCUAUAAGACUGGGAUAACUUCGGGAAACCGGAGCUAAUACCGGAUAAUAUUUCGAACCGCAUGGUUCACAAGUGAAAGACGGUCUUGCUGUCACUUAUAGAUGGAUCCGCGCUGCAUUAGCUAGUUGGUAAGGUAACGGCUUACCAAGGCAACGAUGCAUAGCCGACCUGAGAGGGUGAUCGGCCACACUGGAACUGAGACACGGUCCAGACUCCUACGGGAGGCAGCAGUAGGGAAUCUUCCGCAAUGGGCGAAAGCCUGACGGAGCAACGCCGCGUGAGUGAUGAAGGUCUUCGGAUCGUAAAACUCUGUUAUUAGGGAAGAACAUAUGUGUAAGUAACUGUGCACAUCUUGACGGUACCUAAUCAGAAAGCCACGGCUAACUUCGUG